UACGGGGGGGGCAAGCGUUGUUCGGAAUUACUGGGCGUAAAGGGCUCGUAGGCGGCCAACUAAGUCAGACGUGAAAUCCCUCGGCUUAACCGGGGAACUGCGUCUGAUACUGGAUGGCUUGAAUCCGGGAGAGGGAUGCGGAAUUCCAGGUGUAGCGGUGAAAUGCGUAGAUAUCUGGAGGAAUACCGGUGGCGAAGGCGGCAUCCUGGACCAUAACUGACGCUGAGGCGCGAAAGCGUGGGGAGCGAACAGG
rnacentral:rRNA from 1 species